rnacentral:tRNA from 1 species
GCCUGGGUGGCUCAGUCGGUUGGGCGUCUGACUUCGGAUCAGGUCAUGAUCUCACGGUUCGUGGGUUCAAGCCCCGCAUCAGGCU